rnacentral:rRNA from 1 species
GAUGAACGCUGGCGGCGUGCUUAACACAUGCAAGUCGAACGGGAUCCAAGGGGUGCUUGCACUUUUUGGUGAGAGUGGCGAACGGGUGAGUAACACGUGAGUAACCUGUCCUUUUCUUUGGGAUAAGCAUUCGAAAGGGUGUUUAAUACCUUAUGUUCUGUCUGCCUCGCAUGGGGUGGGUGGGAAAGGCUUUGGCCGGAGUUGGGUGGGCUCGCGGUCUAUCAGCUUGUUGGUGGGGUGAUGGCUUACCAAGGCUUUGACGGGUAGCCGGCCUGAGAGGGUGGUCGGGCACAUUGGGACUGAGAUACGGCCCAGACUGCUGCGGGAGGCAGCAGUGGGGGAUAUUGCACAAUGGGCGAAAGCCUGAUGCAGCGACGCCGCGUGGGGGAUGAAGGCGUUCGGGUUGUAAACUUCUUUUGCUCUGAACAAGGCAUGCCAGUGGGUGUGUUGAGUGUAGGGGUUGAUUAGCGCCGGCUAACUACGUG